AAUCGAACCCGGAGAUAGCUGGUUCUCCCCGAAAUAGCUUUAGGGCUAGCGUCGCAGCGAGAGAGCCGUGAAGGUAGAGCACUGAAUAUGCGAUGGCCGCAUCCCGCGGUACUGAGCAUAAUCAAACUCCGAAUGUCACGGUGUCAUCUGCGGCAGUCAGACGGCGAGUGAUAAGGUCCGUCGUCAAGAGGGAAACAGCCCAGACCAUCAGCUAAGGUCCCAAAGUGCAUGCUAAGUGGAAAAGGAAGUGGAGACGUGCAGACAACUAGGAGGUUGGCUCAGAAGCAGCCAUCCUUCAAAGAGUGCGUAACAGCUCACUAGUCGAAUGACUCUGCGCCGAUAAUUUACCGGGGCUAAGCAUGACACCGAAGCUAUGGACAGGAAUGUGGUAGGGGAGCAUUGCAUGCAGCGGAGAAGCAUGACCGAGAGGGCAUGUGGAGCGCAUGGAAGAGAGAAUGCCGGCGUGAGUAGCGGCACGUGGGUGAGAAUCCCACGCACCGAUGGCCCAAGGUCUCCAGAGGAAGGCUCGUCCUCUCUGGGAUAGUCGGGACCUAAGGCGAGGCCGAAAGGCGUAGCCGAUGGACGACGGGUGGAUAUUCCCGUACCCGAUGUGUGGCGAUGGAGUGACGGAGAAGGCUCAGGCAACCAGCUGCUGGAAUAGCUGGGGCAAGCGAGAUACCUGCGCACCAGGGAAAUCCGGUGCGCGCAAGGGGAAGGCGCGAAGCAUACGGAAAGCUGCGGCAAGUACGGAAAAGCUGAGAGCAGGCUUCCAGGAAAAGCUUCUAGCACAACACGCAUCGGCCCGUACCGAAAAUGGACACACAUGGGCAAGGAGAGAAUCCUGAGGUGAGCGAGAGAACUAUAGCUAAGGAACUCUGCAAAAUGACCCCGUAACUUAGGGAGAAGGGGUGCUCCAGAAAUGGAGCCGCAGUAAAACGGCCCAAGCGACUGUUUACCAAAAACACAGCUCUCUGCGAAGGCGCAAGCCGAAGUAUAGGGGGUGACGCCUGCCCGGUGCUGGAAGGUCAAGGGGAGCUGUCAGCGCAAGCGAAGCAGCGAGCCGAAGCCCCAGUAAACGGCGGCCGUAACUAUAACGGUCCUAAGGUAGCGAAAUUCCUUGUCGGGCAAGUUCCGACCCGCACGAAAGGCGUAACGAUUUGGGCGCUGUCUCAGCUGUAGACUCGGUGAAGUCUUAGUACCUGUGAAGAUGCAGGUUGCCCGCGACUAGACGGAAAGACCCCAUGGAGCUUCACUGCAGGUUGACAUUGGGCUUGGAUGCAUGAUGUACAGGAUAGGUGGGAGGCUGUGAGCCGUGCGCGCCAGCGUACGGGGAGCCGCUGUUGGGAUACCACCCUUCAUGCAUCUAGGUCCUAACCGGAGGCAACGGGCCACGGGACAGUGUCAGUCGGGCAGUUUGACUGGGGCGGUCGCCUCCCAAAGAGUAACGGAGGCGCCCAAAGAUACCCUCAGCAUGGAUGGAAACCAUGCAUAGAGUGCAAAGGCAUAAGGGUGUCUGACUGCGAGACAUACAGGUCGAGCAGGGACGAAAGUCGGGCUUAGUGAUCCGGCGGAUCCGAAUGGAAGGGCCGUCGCUCAACGGAUAAAAGCUACCCUGGGGAUAACAGGCUGAUCUCCCCCAAGAGUCCACAUCGACGGGGAGGUUUGGCACCUCGAUGUCGGCUCAUCGCAUCCUGGAGCUGAAGUCGGUUCCAAGGGUUGGGCUGUUCGCCCAUUAAAGCGGUACGCGAGCUGGGUUCAGAACGUCGUGAGACAGUUCGGUCCCUAUCUGUUGUGGGCGAAGGAGAUCUGCGGAGAGCUGUCCUCAGUACGAGAGGACCGGGAUGGACCUACCGCUGGUGCACCGGUUGUUCCGCCAGGGGCAUAGCCGGGUAGCUAAGUAGGGAAAGGAUAAGCGCUGAAAGCAUCUAAGCACGAAGCCUACUCCAAGAUGAGAUCUCCCAUUCG
rnacentral:rRNA from 1 species